AAAAAAACAAACCCUGGGUUUCCGUGUCCAACUUUGACUGUCCGUCUUAUAUGAAAUUUUUUUUAUAAUUCGUAUUUUUAUUGUUGUUAGAUGAUAAAACAUGAUUAAUACUUUGUGCGUGACUUGUCUUUUUAAUUUUUUUUCAUAAUUUUUUCAAAUAAGACGGACGGUCAAACGUUGGGCACGGAAACCAGGGUUUGUCUUUUU
rnacentral:pre_miRNA from 1 species